AUUGAACGCUGGCGGCAGGCCUAACACAUGCAAGUCGAGCGAGCGGCGGACGGGUGAGUAAUGUCUGGGGAUCUGCCCGCUAGAGGGGGAUAACUACUGGAAACGGUAGCUAAUACCGCAUACUAUCGGAUUACCCCAUAUGGGAUUAGCUCGUCGGUGAGGUCAUGGCUCACCUAGGCGACGAUCCCUAGCUGGUCUGAGAGGAUGAUCAGCCACACCGGGACUGAGAAACGGCCCAGACUGCUACGGGAGGCAGCAGUGGGGAAUAUUGCACAAUGGGCGCAAGCCUGAUGCAGCCAUGCCGCGUGUAUGAAGAAGGCCUUCGGGUUGUAAAGUACUUUCAGCGGGGAGGCGUUACCCGCAGAAGAAGCACCGGCUAACUCCGUGCCAGCAGCCGCGGUAAUUC
rnacentral:rRNA from 1 species